UACAGAGGGUGCAAGCGUUGUUCGGAAUUAUUGGGCGUAAAGGGCGCGUAGGCGGUGCUGUAAGUCUGUAGUGAAAUCUCUGGGCUCAACUCAGAGUCUGCUAUAGAAACUGCAGUGCUAGAGUGUGGGAGAGGUGAGUGGAAUUCCCGGUGUAGCGGUGAAAUGCGUAGAGAUCGGGAGGAACACCUGCGGCGAAAGCGGCUCACUGGACCAUAACUGACGCUGAUGCACGAAAGCUAGGGGAGCAAACAGG
rnacentral:rRNA from 1 species